rnacentral:tRNA from 1 species
GCCUCGGUGGCUCAGUCAGUUAAGCGUCUGACUUUAGCUCAGGUCAUGAUCUCACAGUUUGUGGGUUCGAGCCCCGUGUGGGGCU